UCUUUCCUAGUUUAUUUUCCUUACUCUUAGUUUUUGCAUUCCUUUUAGGAUUAUAGAUUCAAUUAGAGGAAGAGAUUUAUCUAGGUAAUAAGGUUUCGGUAUUGCAUAAUGUUGAGUUGGUUAUAGGAGUUGAUUCGAUCCUUCCAUACCCUUUCCUGUCAUUUGGUAUUAGAGCUUAGCAUCCUAUAACCCAAAUCUAU
rnacentral:lncRNA from 1 species